CUCUAUCUCCUAUUGUGCACGGAUAAACAAAACAACCAAAUGUAGAGAUCGGUUCACCCGUGAUACUGACCAUCGAAAACGGUGUAUUACAAGAACUUAAAGCAAUUUUCUCCUGAACUUUUAAAUGGAAAUUAAAUGAAAUUAAUGACACCACUGACCCGGUGUCAACUAACGCCCGAGUUCUGCAUGGUCCUACGCUUACUUCCACGACGCACGAUCUGUGCGUCUGAUCGGCGUUUUUUUUUUCCGUUCCGUAAAGGUAAAACCUUCACGUCCUUUGUCGUCGCCCCACCUGGGGGACACGCGCCCAAAAUUGCCAUCCGGCUCUGCUACUGGGCGCCCCCGAGCUAAGGGUAUUGGUCUCGGGUUAUCUUGCCCUGGCCUCCUAGUUCCUUGGUUCUCAGCCCGUCUGCCUCCACGGUACGUUAUUGCUCUCCCGGCCCCGUAGGUUAUCCAAUAUCGGGAGUU
rnacentral:lncRNA from 1 species